ACUACGGGUGGCAGCAGUGAGGAAUAUUGGUCAAUGGACGCAAGUCUGAACCAGCUAAUUCUCGUGCAGGAAGACGGCUCUAUGAGUUGUAAACUGCUUUUGUACGAGGGUAAACGCAGAUACGCGUAUCUGUCUGCAAGUAUCGUACGAAUAAGGAUCGGCUAACUCCGUGCCAGCAGCCGCGGUAAUACGGAGGAUUCAAGCGUUAUCCGGAUUUAUUGGGUUUAAAGGGUGCGUAGGCGGUCGGAUAAGUUAGAGGUGAAAUCCUGAGGCUCAACUUCGGAAUUGCCUUUGAUACUGUACGGCUAGAGAGUAGUUGCGGUAGGCGGAAUGUAUGGUGUAGCGGUGAAAUGCUUAGAGAUCAUACAGAACACCGAUUGCGAAGGCAGCUUACCAAGCUACUUCUGACGUUGAGGCACGAAAGCGUGGGGAGCAAACAGGAUUAGAUACCCUAGUAGUC
rnacentral:rRNA from 1 species